rnacentral:rRNA from 1 species
GUAGGGAAUAUUGGGCAAUGGAUGCAAGUCUGACCCAGCCAUCCCGCGUGCCGGAAGAAGGCCCUCAGGGUUGUAAACGGCUUUUGACGGUGAAGAAUCGACAGGAUGCGUCCUGUUUUGACGGUAGCCGUUGAAUAAGCACCGGCUAACUCCGUGCCAGCAGCCGCGGUAAUACGGAGGGUGCGAGCGUUGUCCGGAUUUAUUGGGUUUAAAGGGUGCGCAGGUUGGAAGGUCAGUCAGCGGUGAAAAGCUGUCGCGUAACGAUAGUCUUGCCGCAGAUACUUCCUUUCUUGGAUGAGGAGGAGGCCACUGGAACGGAUGGUGUAGCGGUGCAAUGCAUAGAUAUCAUCCAGAACACCGAUUGCGAAGGCAGGUGGCUGUACCUUAAUCGACGCUGAUGCACGAAAGCAUGGGGAGCAAACAGGAUUAGAAACCCUGGUAGUCC